CUGAAUACAUAAUGUCCCAACAGUUGACAGAAAAAUCUGAUGUUUACUCAUUCGGCGUGGUUCUCCUUGAGGUGUUAUGUGCAAGACCUGCUAUUGAUAGAAUGCUCCCAAGAGACCAAAUGAAUUUAGCUGAAUGGGGAAUGCUUUGCAAGAAGAAAGGGUUGCUUGAACAGAUUGUUGACUCUUCAAUCAAGAAUCAGAUUGAUCCUAGCUCAUUAAGAAAAUUUAGUGAGACAGCAGAGAAAUGCUUGCAAGAAGAUGCUAAUGAUAGGCCUACAAUGGGUGAUGUGCUGUGGGACUUGGAGUAUGCAUUCCAGCUCCAGCAAACAGUAAAGCAUAGGGAACCCCAUGAAGAUAGCACAGCCAAUGCUUCAUCAGCAUUUGUAUUGCCAAAUAUUCCGUGUUUUCCUUCAGUUAGCUCCACCAUUAACACAGAUGAUCUGGCCCUUCCCAGAGACGAUGAAUUAGAUACAACAGAAGUUGAAGUUUUCUCCCAGUUGAGAGUUGGUGAUGCCAGAUAAAUUUGUUUAGUUUGUAAGGUAUAUUAGUUAACCUUGUUUAAGUUUCUUUAGGCUGUAAAAGCUAAGUUAGGUAUGCCUUGUUAAUUUUAGUCCUAUCUUUGAUUAUUGUACUACAACUGCUUUCCCAUCUUUAAGAUGUGGUAAUAAUAUUAACUGUUCAUAAACAGAAGCAGCUAACAAAUUCUAUGUAUAUAAAGAUUCUCUCUUAUUAAUUAGAAAAGAGAAGGAAAAUCAAAGGUAGAAAUUUAAAUAAAUAAAAAGUUAAAAAGCCCAAUUGUGAAAAAAUUGAAGUUUUCCCAAUAUCUUAAUUCUUUGACAUUAUGAAAAAACUAACCGGCAAAAACAAAAUAAAAAAAUAAAGAUAGCUGGAAAACUUAAAGAGUCUGAUGUUGUGCGGAAAUUCCCUUUGAUCUUGUUGUUGAUAGACUUUAGACAAACACACUAUGGAUGUAUCAAACACUCACACACUCGAAAAUAACCAAACACAAAGAACACGAGAAUUUAUAGAGAUUUGGCAAUGCCUACGUCCUCUUUGGUGAUCACCCUGAGAAAUUUCAUUAAUGAAGAUAUGUUACAACUUUGGUCAACAUGUGCCUUUUUUCAGAUUCUCUUUUCACGUGAAAAAUUAUGUUAUAUGAUAGUCUUAAAAGAAUUCGAAUCUGCUCUCUUAUAGCACUUCCAACGCCAGGGCUUUGCCCUAGCAACAGGCCACCCCAAGCCCAGUUUCAUACUCCAGCGCAGGAAAUCCAGUCCGAGCAAGGCAUGGGACCCACCAACCUGGGCAAGCCCACAGGCAGAAAUUGACUGGGCUGUUGCCCGCGGGCUGCUGACUUCAGCAUGACGUCAACAACUGAUUUUCAAAUAUUUUUAACAUUAAAAAAAUUAAAAAUCAACUGCUAACGUCAACGCUGGCCCACCAGCCCACAUUGCCCAAUGGUUACAAGCAACGUGGCUUCUGCUGGAGCCUCCAAUAAAAAAAUCUUGCCCAAUCCAACGGUUGUCCAAUUUUUGGCUAAAACAAAUUGAAAAAAAUAUCAAAAAAAUUUUAAAAAAAUUUCUGGAAAUUUUUUCUAUACAUACCUACCAAUAUUAUUCACUUUCCACACCAAAUUUAAUUUCAAAAUUUUAUCCGAAAAUGUUAUCUUGAUUUUUAAGUGAGAAUUUUACAAUAAAUAUUAACAUUUGGCAAUCGAAAAUCUUAUCCAAAAAGCUUACCAAAAUUAACCGUUUAAGUAUAAAAAAUAAAAAAAUAAAUUUAAGUGAAUAGUAAUUGUCUUAGCCUUAGCAUUUUGGGGUGGAACCACAAAUGACAAGGCUGCCACUAUUCACGUGAUUGAGUAUUAUUGUUUAUCAAAAUUAUCAGGAACUUUCAAAACUAGAUACGGGUUUUGGUAUAUUAAGAAUUCUUAGCCUUCCCUUUGAAUACAUGAAUCAGAUGAAAUUGUGAGAAAUAAGAAAUUACCACAGAAAAAAGACAGAUAACCGAUAAGGAACAAAAGAAAAAUGAAACACAUAUGCAGUGUUCUUUGUAUCAUUGUGGACCAUUGAUGUUUCUGCUGUUCUCAUCCAAACACAAAAAGACAGUAAAGACGAGUCAUCAAACUUGUCAUUGGUGGUGGAUGAUAUUUCAGUCAAUUAUAUGGCUCUCUUUGACAAGAAAGAACUGAAACCCCCAAAAUGUCCUCUUUUGUAUUUGCAUAGUUUAUAAAAUAUAAGGGAGAAUUAAAUAAAUCUACCAUACUUUUUCUUGGAAUUUUCUAACUGCAGACUUGCACGGUUGGUGCUUCAACUUCAAAGUCCACGACUUUCCUAUUCCAAGUCUUUGUUUUCCAUAAUUUCCAUUGUCACUCAGCUCAGAUGAGCUUUCCUUCGGCUACCAAUUAGCAAAAUCCAGCAACUCCAUUAAUUCUCAUGGAAAGCCUUCAUAACCAUAAAAUCCAUAUCCCUCUAUUUUCUCUGCUUUUUUUUCUUUUCCACUUCUCAUCCCUUCACUUUCUCUCUUUAGCCUAUGAGCAACCUGAUAAGUAUUUCGUCAAUUGUGGGUCUAAAGAUGAUGCAAACCUCAAUGGCCGGGUGUUCACUGCAGACUCGAGUUCUGUUUCCUUGUGCUCAGACUCAGAGAAAAGCAGGGCCAUUGAAAGCACCAACCAGUCGCGAAAUCUGUACCAAACAGCAAGAAUUUUCUACAACCAAUCCCACUAUGAGUUCACGAUCGCUGAAAACGGUACUUAUAUUGUCCGUCUGCAUUUCUUGACUUUCUCCUCCUCAGUUAAUCUUUCAUCAGCUCUUUUUGAUGUUCUGGCUUUUCCUAAUGUUUCAAAUUCUGGGUUCAAACUGUUGAGCAAUUUCACUGCUAAGAAUAGUAGCAACUCUCCUUUGAUAAAGGAGUUCUUCCUUGGGAUUGAUCCUGGCACAUUUAAAAUAUAUUUUGUUCCUCAAGCAUCAUCUUUUGCAUUUGUGAAUGCCAUUGAAGUCUUCCUUGCUCCUGCAAGUUUCAGCCCUGAGAAUUACAACAGUAGUCUUCCCUUAGUUCUGCAUACAAUUUACAGGUUGAAUGUUGGAGGCCAGAAAUUCACACCAGAUAAUGACAAAAUAUGGAGAAACUGGGAUCCUGAUCAUAUUUAUCUGUCUAAUUCAAACUCUGCAGAGGAUUUCCGACCCUCCUCCUCAUCGACGCUUUUUAGACAGUACUCAGUAGAAUCUCAUGGUUUCGUUGCUGCUGAUAGUGAUUUUAUUGCUCCAGAUUUAGUUUACCUGAGUGCCAAAGUGAUGACCAGUAGUACAAAGGGGCGAUCCAAUCCCUUCAACAUAACCUGGUCUUUUAAUGUGAGUGCGGAUGCUAGACACCUCGUCCGGGUUCAUUUCUGUGACAUUAUCGGUCCGCCUGGUAAUUUAGUAUUUAACUUGUAUUCAAAUGGAAACUUCAUUAAGAAGGUUGGUGGACCCGCUUUCCGUUUUAAUAGCCUGUACUCGCCUUUCUACUAUGAUUUUGUAUUGAGUUCUAAUGGAUCUGAAUUCAUUAACAUCAGCAUAGGCCCUAGCAUAGACACAACAACUAACAAUUCCUUUCUAAAUGGACUGGAAAUGUUGGAGAUAAUAGAGGGACCAGCUCUAAGUAACCCUCCAGCUUCAGUUUGUAAUAUGAAAGGGCGCAACAAGAUAAAGGUGGGUCUUGUGGUUGGUUCAGUUAUUGGAGGCCUGUCACUUAUCUGCAUUCUGAUUGUUGGAAUUUUGUUCGGUUUGAAAUACAGAAAGGCAAAGCGUGUUGAAACUUCGGAAUGGUCACCAAUGCCUGCAGUUGGUGACCAUUCCUGGUUGACUGAUGGAAACAUUACUGGUUCCCCUAUGAAUUAUCUAAAUCUCGGGUUGAAGAUAUCUUUUGCUGAACUUCAGCAAGCAACAAACAACUUUGACACAAAAUUGUUGAUAGGUGAGGGUGGCUUUGGGAAUGUCUACAGAGGAACUCUGUUGAAUGGCAGAAAUGUAGCUGUUAAGCGAGGAAAACGAGAUGAGAAAGGGUCAGGCCAAGGCCUUCCAGAAUUUCAAACAGAGAUCAUGGUUUUGUCCAAGAUUCGCCACCGUCAUCUUGUUUCCUUAAUUGGGUACUGUGAGGAAAGGUCUGAGAUGAUACUGGUCUACGAAUUUAUGGAAAAAGGGAGCUUGAGAGAUCAUUUAUAUGAUUCAAACUUGCCUCGUUUGUCAUGGAAGCAAAGGCUUGAAAUUUGCAUUGGUGCAGCAAGGGGUCUUCAUUACCUCCACAAAGGUGCAGCUGGGGGAAUCAUUCACCGUGAUGUUAAGUCCACCAACAUCUUGUUGGAUGAAAACCAUGUUGCAAAAGUUGCUGACUUUGGCCUUUCAAGAUCUGGUCCUCUUGAUGAAACACAUGUCAGCACAAAUGUUAAAGGCACUUUUGGUUACCUUGAUCCUGAAUACAUAAUGUCCCAACAGUUGACAGAAAAAUCUGAUGUUUACUCAUUCGGCGUGGUUCUCCUUGAGGUGUUAUGUGCAAGACCUGCUAUUGAUAGAAUGCUCCCAAGAGACCAAAUGAAUUUAGCUGAAUGGGGAAUGCUUUGCAAGAAGAAAGGGUUGCUUGAACAGAUUGUUGACUCUUCAAUCAAGAAUCAGAUUGAUCCUAGCUCAUUAAGAAAAUUUAGUGAGACAGCA
rnacentral:lncRNA from 1 species